rnacentral:rRNA from 1 species
GACGUAGGGCGCGAGCGUUGUCCGGAUUUAUUGGGCGUAAAGAGCUCGUAGGCGGCUUGUCGCGUCGUCCGUGAAAACCUGCGGCUCAACUGCAGGCUGGCGGUCGAUACGGGCAGGCUGGAGUUCGGUAGGGGAGACUGGAAUUCCUGGUGUAGCGGUGAAAUGCGCAGAUAUCAGGAGGAACUCCGGUGGCGAAGGCGGGUCUCUGGGCCGAUACUGACGCUGAGGAGCGAAAGCGUGGGGAGCGAACAGG